GAGUCUUAUUUUUUAGCGUUGUGGUCUGAAACCCAGGUUGGUGGAAACACUGAUGCUGGGGCGGUACUGCAGGCAGGGCUCACAUCUUGUUUCUCGAAGACAGCCUGUGCCCUUUACUGGGUUUGCGGGACUCACUUGUAUUCGAGACAUUUACUUUGAAAAAAUUAGAGUGUUCAAAGCAGGCAGUUUCGCUUGAAUACAUUAGCAUGGAAUAAUGGAAUAGGACUUUGGUCUUAUUUUGUUGGUUUCUAGGACUGAAGUA
rnacentral:rRNA from 1 species